UACAGAGGGGGCAAGCGUUGUUCGGAAUUACUGGGCGUAAAGGGCGCGUAGGCGGCCUGCUAAGUCGAACGUGAAAUCCCUGGGCUCAACCCAGGAACUGCGUCCGAUACUGGUUGGCUUGAAUCCGGGAGAGGGACGUGGAAUUCCAGGUGUAGCGGUGAAAUGCGUAGAUAUCAGGAGGAACACCAGUGGCGAAGGCGGCUUCCUGGACACCAACUGACGCUGAGACGCGAAAGCGUGGGGAGCAAACAGG
rnacentral:rRNA from 1 species